GAUCAUGGCUCAGAUUGAACGCUGGCGGCAGGCCUAACACGUGCAAGUCGAGCGGUAGCACAGAGAGCUUGCUCUCGGGUGACGAGCGGCGGACGGGUGAGUAAUGUCUGGGAAACUGCCUGAUGGAGGGGGAUAACUACUGGAAACGGUAGCUAAUACCGCAUAAUGUCGCAAGACCAAAGUGGGGGACCUUCGGGCCUCAUGCCAUCAGAUGUGCCCAGAUGGGA
rnacentral:rRNA from 1 species